rnacentral:tRNA from 1 species
ACCUGGGUGGCUUAGUCCGUUAAGCGUCUGACUUCAGCUCAGGUCAUGAUCUCACGGUUUGUGGGUUCAAGCCCCACGUCGGGCU